rnacentral:rRNA from 1 species
UGAGCCUACGGGACGCAGCAGUGAGGAAUAUUGGUCAAUGGGCGGGAGCCUGAACCAGCCAAGUCGCGUGAGGGAAGACGGUCCUAUGGAUUGUAAACCUCUUUUGUCGGAGAACAAAACCCGGGACGUGUCCCGGACUGCGUGUAUCCGAAGAAAAAGCAUCGGCUAACUCCGUGCCAGCAGCCGCGGUAAUACGGAGGAUGCGAGCGUUAUCCGGAUUUAUUGGGUUUAAAGGGUGCGUAGGCGGUCCGUUAAGUCAGCGGUAAAAUUGCGGGGCUCAACCCCGUCGA